AAACGCGCUGCAUCUUAGGCUGCAUCAUCACUUGCUGCAGGUCUGAUCGUAGCCAAGCGCUAGUUAAAGAUAAAAAAGUUUUCAGAUAGUAAAAUAAUAUAUUGUUUUAAAGUUUUGUAAUACAGGAAUUAGUCAUAGUUCAAGCGCACUAUAAACUAAACUAAAAGUUUAGUGCAUCUUCCUAUUUUGUUAAGAAAAGGGCAAUAAAUGUAGUCUUAAGUAAGCCUGUAUUGACACUACUUUGUAUGUAGUUUGUACAAUUUGAUGCCAUAUUAAAAGCUAAUUUUUUGAACACAAAACUAAAAGUAAACUAAAGUAAUGCUGUCUUUUUUACAAUAGUCAAUGAAGAAAACGACAACAGUAUAGUUGUUUACUUUUGUGUGCAAAAGUAUUAGUAACAUCAUGUAAAAUAUGAAUUAAUUUAAACCUUCGACAUAUUUGAUUUAGUUACUUAAGGAUUUAUCAAUUAAUCUGUCCAUAAUAAGUGAUACAUACAUACAUACCACUUCUGAUGUUCACAAACUGUUACUGGUCGUACUAAUGUCGUCCUUUUCACAAUGUUCUUUGUGAAUAAGGACAGAGCUAGUUUUUGGACAAGUUGUGUACAGAAGAAUUCGUAACUGAUGUCAAGCAAAACUAUUCGAUUUCAAUGUGACAUCACAACAAGCAAAGCAAAAAAGAAAGUUAUUUUUUUUAUAUAAAUAUUUAGGGUGCGUUUCCACUAAAACAGACACGAGCGGAGCGAAAACUAGACAUGCAAGAAUAGGCCAAUCAGGUAUUUGACGGAAAACUUGUCACGUCAGCUCACUAAAACGUUGAAAUGCCACAGUGUGCUACACAAUUGGCUCUAAUUGGCCGACACUCUCUCGCUAUUGGCUAAAAUGCAUACAAAAAUACUCUCAAUUCUUCCAAACACAGCACUUGAGACUGUAGCAAUGGAUCAUGCAGCUUUUUUGCAAUCGACCUACUGACUGGAAUAACUAUUCAUUAAUUUUAUUUAUCCAUCCAUAGUAAAUCCAAAAUUACAAAAAAAAAAAUUAAUUCCUGUCAAUCUGGCACCAGCUUAAACCACGUGGGUUUAUAUACUACAGUACUGAACAGUAUCUGCUCCAGUGGAAGGCAUUCUUAAUUUUUGCCUAGAGUCGAAACUAUUAGUCCAAUUUGUUAUUUCAUUUCCCUUUAUUAGAAGAUUGCUUUUGUAUGAAACCUGCGUAGGUAGGACCAAGCCAACAAUGUACUGUGGAAGUAGGAUAUUUCAAUCAAAUAUAGACUUUAAUCCAUUUACAUAAGAUCGUUUUUCGAACAAUUUUUUUACUACCGUUUACACACGUUCCGUCUUAGACACGAUAAGGAAUCGAUAAUUUUGCUUGCAAGUUUCUGUUAUUUAAGAAUGUAGUUCGCUUUAACAGUUUACCAAAAACUGUACAUAAAAGUAUAAUAAGUUUUUUACCACAUGUGGCAUUUUUAUUUAUAAGGACAUGUUAUUUUAAUUCGUACGUAAACCUAUUUAUAUAAAAUGUCGCAAACUGCUCGUUUGAAGGAAAAUAGCAAAAUAAUUGA